rnacentral:rRNA from 1 species
GACGAACGCUGGCGGCGUGCUUAACACAUGCAAGUCGAACGGAAAGGCCCUGCUUUUGUGGGGUGCUCGAAUGGCGAACGGGUGAGUAACACGUGAGUAACCUGCCCUUGACUUUGGGAUAACUUCAGGUAACUGGGGCUAAUACCGGAUAGGAGCUCCUGCUGCAUGGUGGGGGAUGGAAAGUUUCGGCGGUGGGGGAUGGACUCUCGGCUUAUCAGCUUGUUGGUGGGGUAGUGUCUUACCAAGGCUUUGAUGGGUAGCCGGCCUGAGAGGGUGUCCUGCCACAUUGGGCCUGUGAUACGGCCCAGACUGCUACGGGAGGCAGAAGUGGGGAAUAUUGCACAAUGGGCCGAAGCCUGUUGCAGCAUCGCCGCGUGCGGGAUCACGGCCGUCGGGUUGUAAACCGAUUUUGCCUUUGACGAAGGGUGAGUGACGGUAAUGGGUCAAGAAGCACCGGCUAACUACGUG